GGGGCGUGGACCGACGCGGAUUACGGUGG
rnacentral:snRNA from 1 species